AUUUAUAUAAUUUAAUUAAGAAUAUUGCACUGAAGAUGCAAAAGUGAUAUCUUUAUCUAUAAAUA
rnacentral:tRNA from 1 species